GCCCGCCGGCCCGGCCCGCCCGGGGCCCCGGGCCCGACGCUGGCGCCCCGCGCCCCCGGAUUCACCUCGGCUCGGCCGCGCGUACGUUCCCCUGUCUCCGUGGUCUUCCGACAGUGGUAAAGUGGAAGAAACUGAGGCACGGUGAGAUACAAAAGUAUCUGGGACUGAGGAGAAGACAGAGGUGGACAAACAGCAUUGCUCAUGAUUCACGGAAGACAUCGCUGGUCCCCACCAGUAUCCAUCCUGACCCUGCUUUAGUUGUGGGCGUCAGUAGAAAAUACACCGUCGGGGAUCCCUGGGUGCCUCAGCGGUUUAGCACCUGCCUUUGGCCUAGGGCGCGAUCCUGGAGUUCCGGGAUCGAGUCCCAUGUCGGGCUCCUGGCAUGGAGCCUGCUUCUCCCUCCUCCUGUGU